CAUGGCUCAGGAUGAACGCUGGCGGCGUGCUUAAUACAUGCAAGUAGAACGCUGAAGCUUGGUGCUUGUACCGGGCGGAUGAGUUGCGAACGGGUGAGUAACGCGUAGGUAACUUGUCUGGUAGCGGGGGAGAACUAUUGGAAACGGUAGCUAAUACCGCAUAACAGUAGAUGUUGCAUGAUAACUAUUUGAAAGGGGCAAUUGCUCCACUACCGGAUGGACCUGCGUUGUAUUAGCUAGUUGGUGAGGUAACGGCUCACCAAGGCGACGAUACAUAGCCGACCUGAGAGGGUGAUCGGCCACACUGGGACUGAGACACGGCCCGGACUCCUACGG
rnacentral:rRNA from 1 species